GUAAAAAGGACAACAUCCGGAUCACCAGGAGGAGUAGCCGUAUCAAGUUAGCAAUGAUUUUCUUAUUUUUAAUGCUUCUGCCAUUAGCAUUGGCAAAUAUGGAAAUCACUAAUUACACCGACGCUCAAACCGUCUCAGUGUACAAAGGAUUAGGGAAACUACAAAUAUCAUCAACUAAAUUAAUCCAUCUAAUAGACCUAGAACAGCUAGAAACAGAAUUGUACAAAAUACGAGAACACACAAUUAAUGACUUAAAAGGAAGCUACCUCUACCAUACACUAACACACGAAAUAGCUCAGGCAUUUACCGCAUUAAGUACUCUGACCUCAAAAUAUCGCAAAGCUCGAUCAAUCAAUUGGAUUGGUUCCGCUUGGAAAUUUGUGGCAGGAAAUCCGGAUCAUGACGACUUAACUAUGAUCGAAAAUAAUUUAAAUAGCCUUAUAACUAACAAUAACGAUCAGGUAAUAGUUAAUAAACAACUGCAAAGUAGAAUCAAUAAUUUAACAACAAUCUCAAAUAUGCUUACGAACUCAAUAAAAAA